rnacentral:piRNA from 1 species
UGGCAACAUCCUCAGAGAAGGAGCUUCUCU